AUACGGAGGAUGCGAGCGUUAUCCGGAUUUAUUGGGUUUAAAGGGAGCGUAGGUGGGAUAUUAAGUCAGCUGUGAAAGUUCGGGGCUCAACCUUAAAAUUGCAGUUGAUACUGGUUUCCUUGAGUACGGUAUAGGUGGGCGGAAUUCGUGGUGUAGCGGUGAAAUGCUUAGAUAUCACGAAGAACUCCGAUCGCGAAGGCAGCUCACCGGGCCGGAACUGACACUGAUGCUCGAAAGUGCGGGUAUCAAACAGGAUUAGAUACCCUGGUAGUCCGCACAGUAAACGAUGAAUACUCGCUGUUUGCGAUACACUGUAAGCGGCCAAGCGAAAGCGUUAAGUAUUCCACCUGGGGAGUACGCCGGCAACGGUGAAACUCAAAGGAAUUGACGGGG
rnacentral:rRNA from 1 species